rfam:Ornithorhynchus anatinus chromosome X1, whole genome shotgun sequence.
ACCCUCUCAGGAUAGCACCUGGGGAGUCUCCAGUACUCUACCAGUCUCGGCUAUAUGAAGGAGAGUCAAACAGAGGCAUACCCAUUCCAUUUCUAGCUUGGGAAGUGGCUGGUGAAUGGAAGGCAAUCUGCUAGAAGU